rnacentral:lncRNA from 1 species
CGACGGCUUCAUCUUCGCCUCGCCGUCGCCGUCACCGUUGCCGCCUUCGCUCUCGUUCGCGGACGCGUUGCUCGGCUCGCGGUGCUUCUUGUGCACGUGAACCAGCAGGUGGCGCUUCAGCGUGGAGUAGUCGUUGAAGCAUUUGCCGCAGACGGUGCACGGAUACGGCUUUUCCCCCGUGUGGAUCCUGAUGUGUCGCAUCAUGUUGUGGCGGCAGUUGAAGGACUUCCCGCACUCGCUGCAGUUGAACGGUUUCUCCCCCGUGUGGAUCCGCAUGUGCGUCUGCAGAGAGCUCGACGCCCCAAAGCAUUUCCCGCAGACGCCGCAGACUUCGGCUUUCACGUGCGUCUUCAGGUGAGCCUGAAAUUCGUCCUCGGUCUCGGAGCGUUCCCCGCACACGCCGCAGACGUCCUUGGGGUGAACUUCCAUGUGGUUGACCAGAGAGACGUUGGCGUGGAAGGCCUUCCCGCAGACUUUACAGCAGAUCCGCGAUUUAGCUUUUUUGUUGGGGUGCAGCGUCGGCGCCAUCGGCAGACGAGGCCCCUUCUUCUUCUUACACUUGUGGUUGCUGUCGCUGUCGUCGCUCGGAGACCCCGCGCUGCCCCUCCACUCCUCGUCGCUGUCCUCGUGUUCGGGCGCGGAGCCGGAGGACGCCCCGUCGUCGCCAUCCACCUUCGCCUGCUCCUGCCCGGCCGAGGUGCUCGGCAGAGGAUCUCCUUCUCCUUUGGCGCUCUGGUAGCCGGACUGCAGCUGGUCCAGCUCGCUCUUCACGUACGGACCGGUGAAGAUGAACCUGAUGGUGUUGUCCUCGUCCAGCUCCUGAACCUGCUCCUCCUCUCGGCUGUUGGGGAGCUCCCGCAGGCUCUUCUCGGCGUGCGGGGGUUCCUGGUCGUCCUGGUCCUGACCGGAGCUCAACUCCUGAACGCAGUGUUGCUGAUCGGAGCCGAAGUCCUCGUCCCAGACGGAGAGGGCCAGCUGUGGUUGGUCUGCAAGACAACAACGAUCUUAAAGAACAGAAAACCAACUAGAAUACGUCAGACAAGGUUUUAUUAA